CCUCUUAGGUUCUUAGCCCACCUUCCAAAAGCGCGACAGCCGUUGGGUCAUAAGUCUACAGGACAGGGUGUUCACGUGGCCUAUUUUCACGACCCAGAGCUCCCCUCAUCAGAAGGUUUGUUUUUUUUUUUCUUCUGCAGGGAGAGAUUAUGAGCUCCCCCCCCACAGACACACUCACACUGGGAAAGGAAGUGUCUACGUGGCCUGCGGAAACGGGAUGGGCGGAAAUGAGCUAAGGCUCCCGCGGGUGGCCAAGCGGGAGGUCAAGUCUGGGGCCACACCCCCGAACCUCUUGCGCAACUAUGUAUGCAAAAAAAAAAAAAAAAAGCGGGUUGGGAUUUUUGAUGUGCGUGCGAAUGAGGAUUGUGGGUGUGCGCGGACCGACGCGCGUGGCUUUGGCGGCCGGGUGUGCGCGCGCGCAUGCGCUCAUGGCGUUAGCGGUGGAGGUGGAGGUGCGCGCGCCCGUGGCAUUGGGGUCGAUUUUCUCAUCCCAGAAGAAUGGACACUGUCUUUAGAGUUCUUUGGAACAGUAACUGAUUUUUUGACAUAUUAAGAGGAUAUCCUAUGAUUUCCUGAACAACGUCAAAAGUAAGUCAGGCACUGUCUCCACUCAUUCCCUAGCUAGGCAGAACCCCCAACCCCAGCCACCACAAUGUUAUCAAUGUUUUUAGCAGUA
rnacentral:lncRNA from 1 species